rnacentral:lncRNA from 1 species
AGAACCUUAUAUAAACUCGUAGUAGUAAAUUUAUGGAGAUGGGUACAAUAGUAAUUUUUCAAAGGGUAAUCAAAAGGAUAUACGCCCCUCAAUGAAAUUGGAGCUGUCGUCGUCACGUGAGCCCCCCAUGCCCCUCUCUCUUAUCAUUUAUUUAGCACCUAGGAAGAAAACCAGCCCCUCUUAAAUGAUCCAUCUUCACAAUCUACUGCCACCAUUACACAUUUGUCCCCCUCCCAUUGUUAGUGUCUAGGAAAUUGCUUCUCUCUCUACCUGCUUAUUGCUUGAGUUUCAUUUCCCUUGCCCUUAAAACUUCCCCUCUCAGACUGUCCUUUCUGAUUUAUUAGUUUGAUUGUUCCUCUAGUCAAAUAAAUUGCAUUCAACAUCCAUCCCUACUCACCUCUCUCUCCCUCUCUUUAAAAUCAAUAGAACCCCAUGACCACUUUCCCCAAUUUUCUCAGAUUUAGGUUCCUAAGCAUCACAGGACCAAAAAAAGUCAUGUUCCCUUCCUCUAGGGUCAUAGGUUUCUCUCUCAUCAUCAUACUCAGCUGGCUCUUCUUUGGAGAUUUUGGGGUAUUGGGUGUGAGAUUUCUUCAUGGAAGUGAAAGGGGAGUUGAAAUGGCGGACCUCCACAUUUGGAGAAGACCACAAAUUUGGAAGAAACCCACCAAACUUACAACCCCAGAUUUCUAUGUCAGCAAAAGGGAGGUGCCCUCAUGUCCUGAUCCUCUCCAUAACAGGUAGACUACAAGUUUGAGCAUGUUAUUUGCCAUGAGGGUACUAUGAAUAGUUCUUUUUGGUGGAGGAUAAAAAAGGAAAAAAAAGUUAUUUUUCUCUUUUUUCCACUUUCUUUUGCCUUUAGCUGUGGGCUGCAUGGAUAAAAGAGCGAAUUUGAAAGUGGGUUGAUGUACAUAAGCCCCCUACUGAAUUGUUCCGCUUCUAGUUUGCUGAGAGAGAGUGAAUUACAGUUCAAUCGGCCCAUCGGUUUUGUUUUAAAUUAUUCUCUCAUCUUCUUUGAGUCUUCAAAUUCUUGUUUCAUUAAGUUUGUAUCUUAUGGAUGAAGCCCAAGUUUGUGUUCUCUUUGUUUUCGAGAGAGAGAGAGAGAGAGACUUUAGAGGUAUUUUUAACACUAUGUUGGUUCUGCAUAUCGGAUCGAGUGGCAGGUGUAUGGUAAUUUUAUCCAGAAAAGCAUCAGAGAAAAUUGGAUAUGCUCAAUAAGAGAGAGAGAGAAUCCAUGGAUGGUAGGUUUAGACUUCGAUAAAGAAAAAUUAAGGGCGUUGUGGUUGAAUGAAGUAAAUGGGCCGUUAUUAAGCUUUGCAAAUGAGGCCAUGUUGGUAGUUGCAGAUGUGCGUUCCUAGAAUAGGGUUCUUAGACUGUGAGAUUCAACACAUGCUUUCCUAAAAUAUUUGAUACUCUUUACUUUUGUUGCUUAGGUCUACCUCAUUAUGGCAAUUUAAAUAUUCGAUUCUCUUUACCUUUCCUUUCUCUUCUGCUUCGCUCUGCUCUUCUUGUUCUUUCUGCGAGGGGAUCUUUCUUCAGUUCGACUCUCAGAUGAGAGAGAGAGAGAAAGAGAGCACAUCAAAUGGAGAG